ACAUUGCUCAAUGUAGCUGCGCUGUGAUUUUUUAUGUCUAUCAAUGCUCAACGACGACAUAUCAGAGCAUAUAUUCUGGAUCUUAAUAUCUGUGGUAUCAUUGGAAUCUUUCGCAAAACCAGGUCCAUCAGACAUUACAGAAAUAUCAAAGGCAUUUGUGGUACUGUUUGGCAUUAUAUGUUUAUGUUUGUCCUUUAAUGACGG
rnacentral:lncRNA from 1 species